GCAGACCUCUCCUUUUUGUUUUUUUCAGCUGGCCUCUCAUUCUCUUCCCAACAAUGUCUGGGUUUCCCUCAAAGCUACCAAGUGCUAAUUUGAAAAAUAUGUUACCAACAAGUGGGAGAAAAGCAGGCAUCCUAUGUGAAAUGCCCUCUAGGGCGUGGAGGAACUCCCAGAGAGAGAGAGAGCGCACAUGCGCACGCCCGUGCGCCAGGGCUGCGUGCUCUCUGAGCAGCAGGAAGAAAUGGGAGCGACUAAGACAGAAGCUCACUUAUAGCUUGGUGACAUCUUGGGCGGCUGGAUGAAACCCUCCGUUGCAUUUAAGGUGCUGUGAACCUGGUGGGAAAGAAGAGACAUGUAGAGCAGUUAUCACAACACAGUACAGUCUGUGCCAUCGUCUUAAAGGUGGGCUGUCAGUGCUGGGCCUAGGAGGCUCCCUCCUAACCCCUGACUGCAGAAGAGCUCAGCUUGGUGCAGAAGAUAAUACACACCUCUAAGCCUUGGCGUCUUUCUCCCUCUGGUCUGAUGGUGCUCAGUCCUGGCGAAAGGUGAAGAACUAGAGACAUAGAGGAUUGAAGAAGAGCAAGUCAUGACCCACAUCAAGUCUGAAACCUCUUUCUGUUGAUUGCCUUACCUGUCAGUAACUCAAUAAGCAACAUUGCCUCUUUCAACAAUCAAUGAACAGAAAUGCUAUGAGGAAACAAAUUGAGAGAAAUCUUCAUUCUUGUAAGUAUUCACAGAAAAGGCUUUAAUUGUUGCUAUUCUUUUACUUAUUAAAAUAGGGAAAAUUAAAAGAAUGAUAAUACUCAGUGCUCGCAAGAAUCCAGGGAAAUUGAGGC